UUAGUUGGACCGAUCGAUGGUGAACCUUCAUUUGAUGCACACUAGCUAUUUUCUCUUUUUCAUGGUUAUGACUUUGUUAUGUUGUGCUGUAAUUAGAGGGCGCUAUCGUACUACAAAAUCCCACACUUCAGAAAAGGUUGUGUUAGACGUUUGAAGUUGGGCCGUUAUGUACAGGGAGUUUGAAACAGGAUGCCUGAAAGAAGUGUGGGACCACCAGAUGAUUAGAGAUACAAUGGUAUCAACAUGCUACAACCUUUUAUUUACCAAGGACUAUUAAUACCAUUGUCACCAGAACUUCCUCUUCACGUCUCAGCCAGAACAACGGAGACUUCGCUGUAGAUAGGGCCGAACUGAUUUACUGUUUGUAACUUAGUGGGUGUAGGUUGUUAAAAUGUGUGACUUGCUAAUCAUGUAUUAAAGUACUGAUAUACCAGUUGUGUGUGUGUGUGUGGGAGGGUAAAGGGACAUUUAUAUAUUUACACAGCUAGUACAUGAAAACUGACUAUUCUUAGAAUUUUUCUUCCUUUUGUGUGAUUACAACUGCAUACUUGGCACCUAAAAACUGUGCCUUUUGUUCACUAAUUGGAUGAUUGUUAAUAUUGUAGACAACUUUGUUGACGACAUUAUACAGGGCUGUAAGCUCCAAUUGCAGUUUUAUAUGUAUUGCCAUUAACUGUGAAUAUGUUUUGUUUGAAAUGAAACUACAGUUAUUCAUUGUUAAUUAUCUAAAGGACAUCUGUCAUUAUUAAAUAGUUUGAAAUUAAAGAA